rnacentral:rRNA from 1 species
AUGACCUCCGCUAACAGCGGCGAUGGCCAGAGCAGCUCAACAAGGGCACACUUCGCGCUAGUGCAACUGUUGGCGCAGGGCCACACCAUCCCCAGGAUCGACAUGGCGUGCCUGCUGGCAGAGCAUGGCGCGCGGGUCAGCUUCAUCACCACGCCGGUGAACGCCUCCAGGUUGGCAGGAUUUGCAGCCAAUGUGAAGGCGAUGUUCCUGGUGAUUCAGCUCGUGGAGCUCCAGUUCCCGGCCGCUGAGUUCGGCCUACCGGACGUUUGUGAGAACCUCGACAUGAUUCAUACCAUGGACCUGCUCUCAAAAUUCCUGAAGGCCAUCGGUGCGCUUCAGGAGCCGCUCAUAGCCCACCUCCGUGAGCAGCAGCACUCGCCUCCGAGCUGCAUCAUAUCUGACAUGAUAAACUGGUGGAGAAGUGACAUUGCCAGGGAGCUCGGCAUCCCGAGGCUCGCCAUUAUUGACUUUUGUGGUUUCUCAUCCCUAGUCAGGCACAUCACUUUUCAAACCAAUGUAUUUGACCAUGUCAAAGAUGAAAAUGAGCUCGUCAUGAUCACGGCGUUCCCAACACCACUAGAGUUGAAGAAGGCUAAAUCCCCUGGAGGCGUUUCCAUUCCUGGUGCGGACCAAAUCCAUGGCAUGAUCCUUGAGGAGACACUGAGAUGCGACGGUGAGGUCAUUAAAAACUUUCAGGAGCUUGAGGCAUUGUACAUCGAAUCGUUUGAGUAG